CGCUUCACUGCUCUCUCUGCUUGUUUUAAACGACAGUUGACUUCAGUCUCUAGUGAUUCACUUACAGAAUGGCCUCCCACUGUCUGCUGAUGUGCGUUGCGCUGGUCUUUGUUCACUAUUCUAGUGGACAGAAUAUUCUGACUCAGACACCACAGGUUCAGACUUUCCUAGCAGGACAAAGUGUCUCAAUCAAGUGCAAAGCCCAAAGCUCUAUAAGCAACAACUACCUGCAUUGGUACCUGAUGAGACCUGAUGAAAGGCCUAAACUUCUGAUCUAUAAUGCAAACAGCCGUGUCUCUGGAAUCCCAGCACGUUUCACUGGAAGUGGAUCAGGGACCGACUUCACUUUGACCAUCAGUGAUAUGCAGACUGAGGAUGCAGGAGUCUAUUACUGUCACCAGCCUUGGGGCUCUGACACACAGUGAUCAACAGUCGAACAAAAACCUCUCUGAUUCAGAAGUGCAGGGCAUGACACAGGUGCAGAGAGAGGAACUGCAGAAA